GCGAGCGUUAAUCGGAAUUACUGGGCGUAAAGGGUGCGUAGGCGGCGGGGCAAGUCAGGUGUGAAAUCUCGGGGCUCAACCCCGAAACUGCACUUGAUACUGCCUUGCUCGAGUACUGGAGAGGAGACUGGAAUUUACGGUGUAGCAGUGAAAUGCGUAGAUAUCGUAAGGAAGACCAGUGGCGAAGGCGAGUCUCUGGACAGUUACUGACGCUGAGGCACGAAGGCCAGGGGAGGAAACGGG
rnacentral:rRNA from 1 species